rnacentral:misc_RNA from 1 species
GUGAAUCAUCAAAUUUUUGAACGCAAAUUGCACUCUCUGGCAUUCCGGGGAGUAUGCCUGUUUGAGGGUCAGUUUUAAUAAAAAACGGGGUGUUGUUGGAAUUUGUUGCGGUUGCAGAGGUUGGGGUAUGUUUUCUUUUUGGGUUAAGGGGCUUAAAAUUUGCCUGUUUUGCGCGUUUUUAUAUAUAUA